AUUGAACGCUGGCGGCAGGCCUAACACAUGCAAGUCGAACGAGUGGCGGACGGGUGAGUAAUGUCUGGGAAACUGCCUGAUGGAGGGGGAUAACUACUGGAGACGGUAGCUAAUACCGCAUACCAUCAGAUGUGCCCAGAUGGGAUUAGCUAUUUGGUGGGGUAACGGCUCACCAAGGCGACGAUCCCUAGCUGGUCUGAGAGGAUGACCAGCCACACUGCAACUGAGACACGGUCCAGACUCCUACGGGAGGCAGCAGUGGGGAAUAUUGCACAAUGGGCGAAAGCCUGAUGAAGCCAGGCCGCGUGUAUGAAGAAGGCCUUCGGGUGGUAAAGUACGUUCAGGUGGGAGGCGUUACCCGCAGAAGAAGCACCGGCUAACUCCGUGCCAGCAGCCGCGGUAAUAC
rnacentral:rRNA from 1 species